rnacentral:tRNA from 1 species
GCAACUGACUCUUAAUCAGUGGGUCCAGGGUUCGAACCCCUGAGAGUGUA